rnacentral:lncRNA from 1 species
AGGCAUAUAUAACUUGAUCUCCAAUAAAAAUCACUUUAUAAACAACUUGUCAAUUACCAUCACUUGAUAAAAAACUUGUCAAGCACCAUCACUUUAGCUAACACAUCAAACACCAUCAUUUAAACAAUCAUAUCCUUGAAAAACAAGAUUGAUGAAGACUCAUAUUAAGAGUAUUUUCAACAUCAAAAUCAAGUUAACAUGUUG